UCUUUCGCUACUGAUCUUGUGCACGACGCCUUCCCUACAGUUUCCCGAUUUCGAUUUUCCGAAAGGAAUGUCUAUCGUAGACCCCUCUACAAGCUUGGGUUGACCACGUAUGCCACUCUCGAGCCUGUAUCAGGACCUCGCAGCUAGUGGCAAAUGGAGCCGUCGUGGUCAGAAGCCGUCGGUUACUAGACGGCCCAAGGGCGCCAAGAGGGAAUCGAGUCGGAACUUAACCCUACGAAUAUAUCUGGUUUUAGCUUUGCGGUCGUAUGUUGGCCAACAUCGCCUUUUACGGCCUAGCAGACGUUUUUCGACCGCUGGAGGCGCUGAAAAGUGCACUAGUUGUCGACUGGACGUCGGCAGGGACAGAAUGGCUUUUUGGUCUUCCAGUCACGUUUCUGUGUGCGAAGAUGAGAGCCAUGAGAGCGCGGAAAUGCGUAAUCGUCAGCUUUUGUCGCUGGACCCUGACAUUGGUCGUCGGUUAGUUGCUUGACAGAGGAAGCCAAUAUGUUCAACCCUUCCGGAUGUGAGAGGCCGAAGCACGGGAGUAGAGCUCAUCAAAAACCACAAACAACCAGACGGUUCGCUUCAUACCGCAUUCCGGACCUGCCUUGCCGGACGCAUGCCGAUUUCGUUCGGCUUUGCUGCGAGGAGGUCUAAGGAAACCAACAGAAGCGCACUGUCUGUUCACACAUUGUUUUGUUGAACAUGCUCUCGGUCCUCCCGGCUUCAUAAUGGUCUCAUAUACACUGGCGGGGCAACUAUGGCCAACUUUCAAGCCAUGCAAGUGCAUCAUUUGCCGGCAUGUGAUGCUCCAUAUCUACUCAGAUCAGACCCAUUAACGCCUAGGUACAGUCUUGGUUGUGCCUCUGGUGGCGCCUAUUCCUUUCUGUUCCCGUUUUUGGGUCACAGACUUACCUGGGUUGACCGACUGCUCUUGGUCAAUCAAGAUGAGAGCGCGAGUUUUUGCGGAUGUCUUUUGCUACGUGCGUUAAUGCCCUCCUUCAACAUAGCUAUUCUGAUCUAUGGGAGUGGAAAACAAAAACAGUCCUUGUCGGCAGUGCUACACAAACAGAAAGAGCCAUUGGAGUUGAGCAAGGUAAACCUUUGAUGCAAUGACCGGAAGUUUCAGCCUGUGAUGAUAGCUGCUUGUCUAUGAAACUAUGUGGUCCGAAGUGGUGUUGCAUACUUCAUCUGCGUGUCUUCGGGACCCAUCCCGUGUUGGUGUCAAAGUUUUGUACUUGUCUGGGACGACGUUUGGGAUCUAUGCAACCCACGAUCUUGGCUAACCGGUUUCUCUACUACUUGUUUGUUAUGGGCAGGCCCAAGGGAUGGGUAGCUCAGGCUGUCUUCGCAGCAGAAAUGCUAUGCCGAAGGCAGCCCCCCAACAUUGGCGG
rnacentral:telomerase_RNA from 1 species